rnacentral:tRNA from 1 species
GACCGCGUAGCUCAGUUGGAAGAGCAUUGGGCUAGUAUUCCAAAGGUCGUAGGUUCGAAUCCCGCCGUGGGCA